rnacentral:rRNA from 1 species
UACGUAGGGUGCGAGCGUUGUCCGGAUUUACUGGGCGUAAAGAGCGCGCAGGCGGUCGUCCAAGUCGCGUGUGAAAGCCCCCGGCUCAACUGGGGAGGGUCACGCGAUACUGGUCGACUCGAAGGCAGGAGAGGGUAGUGGAAUUCCCGGUGUAGUGGUGAAAUGCGUAGAUAUCGGGAGGAACACCAGUGGCGAAGGCGACUACCUGCCUGUUCUUGACGCUGAGGCGCGAAAGCUAGGGGAGCAAAGCGGGG